ACCGUUCAAGUAUUUGAGUUUCUUCCUCGAAGAUGAUUCUGAACUUGACCAUAUUAGAAAGGAGUAUGGAAACGAAGAGAUUUUGACCGAUGAUGACAAAACGAAUGGAAAAAAAAAAAAGAUGUUGACCGGAGCUGUAAAGAAGCGACUCACCGAAGUCUUGACAGAAAUAGUUGAGAGACACCGCAGGGCACGAGCUGCUGUUACCGAUGAGUUGGUAGAUGCAUUCAUGGCCGUGAGACCUCUCCCAAGCAUGUUCGAGUAGGAUCCAGAAACCAGAAGAAACCUUUUGGCACCUCCUCCCAACUUCAUAUGUCAAAGUUAAUUCAUUUUGUCUUCACUUG